rnacentral:lncRNA from 1 species
AAGAAGAUCGACCAUGCACGCAUAGUGCUCUAUCUCAGGUUCAAUCUUGAAGUUCUGUCGCAUCUGAGAAAAAAGCCAAUGGCCUUCGGCAACAAGACCGGCAUGACUACAGGCAGACAGAGCAGCAAUAAAAGUAACACCAUCUGGUCUAUAUCCUGAUUUAAUCAUAUGAUUAAAAGUUGCAAGAGCAUCUUUACCAAGUCCAUGCGUUCCAUAUCCUGCAAUCAUUGAAUUCCAUGAGAUUGAAUCUCGAUUUUCAAGUUUUUCAAACACCAUAAAUCCUGGCUUGAAACUUCCACAUUUUGUAUACAUGUUAAUCAAUCCAUUUCCAACCAAUACGUUAUCAUCCAUCCGAGCUCUAAUGACAUGACCAUGCAUUUCCCUACCAAGAUUAAGAGCUGCUAGCAUAGCACAAAUUGAUAAAACACUAGCUAUCGUCACUGAGUUUGCCUUUACAUUUGCAAGCUGCAUUUUACGAAAAACUUCCAAAGAUUCUUCUCCUAGUCCCUUGGAAGCAAAUCCACAAAUGAUUGCACUCCAAGUUAUAACAUUUGGUUUCAUCUCUGGAUAGGCUUCCAUUUUCUCCAGCUGAGAGAGCAAUUCCAAAGCUUUGUCAUAUACUCCAGAUUCAGCAAAGGAGGAUAUAAGAGCGUUCCAACUCACAAGAUUUUUCACUUUCAUCUCAUGAAAUAACUUCUCUGCAUCUCCUACCCCUCCUCCUUUUCCAUAUAAGGUUAUAAGUGCAUUCUUAGCAAACAAGUAAUCAUUGAAACCUCCCUUGACCAUAUAUCCAUGAAUCAUCUGACCGCUGUUCAAUGUAGCUAAAUCAGCACAAACAGAUAACACCACAGCAAGCAUUUCAGCAGUGGGACCAACACCUUUCAUCCUCAUCUUGCAAAACAAUACCAUAGUUUCUUCAAGAUGACCACACCGAGCAUGGCUCGACAGCAAUGAAGUCCAAGUUACUGGGUUUGGCUCAACCCCCUCCAACUCCAUUUGAUGAAACAUCCUAGAAGCACCAUUAACAUCGUAAUUAUAGGCAUAACCAGAAACCAUAGUGUUCCAAGAAACUACACUUUUGAUGCGCAUUUUAUCAAACACUUUCCUGGCGUCAUCCAUUCGUUCAAGCUUCGCAUACAUCCCAAUCAAUUCAUUCCCCACAUGCAAAUGAUUUUGGAACCCAAAUUGCACAACAUGACAAUGUAGAUUUUUGCACAUGUUAAAAGCACCCAAAUUAGAAGAAGCCCUCAAAAGCAGAGGAAAAGUAAACCCAUCCCCCAAAACUCCAUAAUUUCUCAUUUUCCCAUACAGUUGAAGCGCUUCUAUGCAAUACCCAUGAUAUACAUUGGCUCUUAUAAUCGAAUUCCAUAACAAGAAGUUGGAAUAACAUUCAAAUGGCGCAGAACCAAACACUUUUCGGGCAUCAGAAACAAGCCCAUAACGGGAAUAGAUGGACACAAGCCGGGCGGAGACGAACGCUGAACAAUAGGCACCGGUGACAACGGUGGCGGAAUGAACUUGUUU